rnacentral:rRNA from 1 species
CCUACGGGAGGCAGCAGUAGGGAAUCUUCCACAAUGGGCGAAAGCCUGAUGGAGCAACGCCGCGUGAGUGAUGAAGGCCUUCGGGUUGUAAAACUCUGUCAUUCGGGACGAACCGGAGUCUGAGGAAAUGCAGACUCUCUGACGGUACCGGAGGAGGAAGCCCCGGCUAACUACGUGCCAGUAGCCGCGGUAAUACGUAGGGGGCAAGCGUUGUCCGGAUUCACUGGGCGUAAAGCGCGCGCAGGCGGUGAUGUAAGUCUGAGGUGAAAACCCGAAGCUCAACUUCGGGACUGCCUUGGAUACUGCGUCACUUGAGGAUAGGAGAGGCAAGGGGAAUUCCACGUGUAGCGGUGAAAUGCGUAGAGAUGUGGAGGAACACCUGUGGCGAAGGCGCCUUGCUGGCCUAUUUCUGACGCUGAGGCGCGAAAGCGUGGGGAGCAAACAGGAUUAGAUACCCUGGUAGUCCACGCUGUAAACGAUGAGUGCUAGGUGUAGGUGGGCUCAUACCCAUCUGUGCCGAAGCUAACGCAUUAAGCACUCCGCCUGGGGAGUACGGUCGCGAAGACUGAAACUUAAAUGAAUUGACGG